rnacentral:rRNA from 1 species
UACGUAGGGGGCAAGCGUUGUCCGGAUUUAUUGGGCGUAAAGAGCGUGUAGGCGGCCAUGUAGGUCCGUUGUGAAAACUCGAGGCUCAACCUCGAGACGCCGAUGGAAACCAUGUGGCUAGAGUCCGGAAGAGGAGAGUGGAAUUCCUGGUGUAGCGGUGAAAUGCGCAGAUAUCAGGAGGAACACCGGUGGCGAAGGCGGAUCUCUGGGCCGUAACUGACGCUGAGGAGCGAAAGCAUGGGGAGCGAACAGG